UGUGCGUAAAUGGGAAUUUGUAUAGG
rnacentral:piRNA from 1 species